GCGGAGGAAAAGAAACCAACAGGGAUUGCCUUAGUAACGGCGAGUGAAGCGGCAACAGCUCAAAUUUGAAAGCUGGCCCUUUCAGGGUCCGCGUUGUAAUUUGUAGAGGAUGAUUCGGCGAGGGCUCCCGCCUAAGUCCCCUGGAACGGGGCGUCAUAGAGGGUGAGAAUCCCGUAUGCGGUGGGCUGCCUUAGCCAUGUGAAUCUCCUUCGACGAGUCGAGUUGUUUGGGAAUGCAGCUCUAAAUGGGAGGUAAAUUUCUUCUAAAGCUAAAUACCGGCCAGAGACCGAUAGCGCACAAGUAGAGUGAUCGAAAGAUGAAAAGCACUUUGGAAAGAGAGUUAAAAAGUACGUGAAAUUGUUGAAAGGGAAGCGCUUGCAACCAGACUUGUCCGCAGUUGCUCAGCCGGUCUCCUGACCGGCGUACUCUUCUGCGGCCAGGCCAGCAUCAGUUCGGGCGGUCGGAUAAAGACCUCGGGAAUGUGGCUCCUCUCGGGGAGUGUUAUAGCCCGGGGUGGAAUGCGGCCAGCCUGGACUGAGGAUCUCGCUUCGGCAAGGAUGCUGGCGUAAUGGUUGUAAGCGGCCCGUCUUGAAACACGGACCAAGGAGUCUAACAUCUAUGCGAGUGUUUGGGUGUCAAACCCAUACGCGUAAUGAAAGUGAACGGAGGUGGGAACCCGCAAGGGUGCACCAUCGGCCGAUCCUGAUGUCUUCGGAUGGAUUUGAGCAAGAGCAUAGCUGUUGGGACCCGAAAGAUGGUGAACUAUGCCUGAAUAGGGUGAAGCCAGAGGAAACUCUGGUGGAGGCUCGCAGCGGUUCUGACGUGCAAAUCGAUCGUCAAAUUUGGGUAUAGGGGCGAAAGACUAAUCGAACCAUUGACGAGUAGUUACCAGGGAGUUCUUACUCCUCGCUACUAGGUG
rnacentral:sRNA from 1 species